AGCUAGAGGACCACGGAGGGUGCUCCUGGCUGGCUGAAGAAGCUGCAGCACCAGGAACAGGCAGUUGCUGGCAAGGGCUGGGGAAGCAGGAAGGAACUCCUGACUGGCUACUGGGACUUAAGCUGGAAGAACCCUGAGGAGUUAAAGAUCUAAAUACCUUUGGGGAUCUGGACCUUAGUACUUGAGAACUCUCAGUGAAAUGAAUGGGAGCAACCAAGGAGUAUGUUACAAGUCAGCAGGAGUGAAGGUGGCAGAAUUUGUUCCAAAAUGGUUUGGCCGGUGCAUACCAGGCUGUUUGCAAAGGGUGAGAUCUGAUCCUUGUCUGGUUUCCUUACUCACCUCUGUGCCAGGACUCUGGUAAGGGGUUUGGGCAGCCCUAUGACUUGCUGGGUUCAUCAGUCUCAGAAAACUAUGACAGAAAGGACAUGAACAUUGACUCGCCUCUACUGCGUGUCCCUGGAGAAUAACACUAUGCAAGGCGCUUCUUGUUGCUAAAAGCAUCAGAGGGAAAAGGAGAGACAUGAUGGAGUAACGUAUUUAAAAGCUUCUCCAUCCUCAAAGAGCAUCCAAGGGGAGCUCCUUGCACCAUGUUCCCUGCUCACUCUGGUUGCUGAACGAGCAUCCUUAGACAUUGAUUUCAAAGGAGCAAAGAUGCAAGGCUGCUUUGCUGUCUCCUCUACUGACAGGACACCCGUGAGAAGAAGCUGCAUUGUGCUCUGAAUAUGAUACAACUCGCACUCGCUGUGAUCUCAGGCAGCCAGAGUUUGCAACCAAAGACAAACAUACUCAUAGCUAUCUGCUCUGGGCUGUUUCCUAUAUCAGUGUGAAACACAGCAGUUUCAGUUCCCAUAGCUUUCAAUAACAUUUUGGGGAGAGAGGCUGAUUCCUAUUGGCCUGCAUACCUUCUGAAUUUUGCACUGUUUGUCCCAAAAUUAAAAGCAACGUUCAACUGAAACCUCAAAGGUUCAUUUUGUUUUGAGUCAAAACAAACGCGGAGGGGUUUGCCUGGAACACAACUGCUCCACUUAAAAUGUUUGUGAACCUUCAAAAAAACCUUAUUCAGGGUUUGGGUUCUGAAGGAAAUCCAGAACCAAGACCAGGAGUUGGUAUUUUAUUCUGAAUAGAGUGGCCUGAAAAAUGGAAAAAACAAUUUUGCUUAAAAAUUUCCCAGGUGUUUCCAUUUUGCAGGGUUAGAAAUGAAACAAUUUUUGGUUUAUUUUUUUCAAUAUCUAUGAUUUUUUUUUAAAGUUUCAAAAUUUCCAUUUUCCUCCUUCCUCGCUUUUUGCCACAAAGUGCAUUCAAGUGAUAGUGUCCAGGGUUCAGUUUUGUCUUCCUUUUCUUUUCCUUUGUUUCCGGUCUUUUUUGAAAAGUUCUCCAACUUCGGAACUGUGGCAGGAUUACGGCAUUCCAGUUGUCUUGCUGUGCCCACCAUGUUUCCACCGCUGAUGUCCUUGUUUAAAGUUGCAGAGUGGAAAACAGGAAACCAGGAACAAAAAGGAAAAUAACCU